GCAAUGCCUACAGUAUGAUAUAUGCAUUUGCUUUAAUGUUUUGCAGGAAAUAAACACUGAUCUUGGCAUAUUCAGAAAGUUAGCUUCCCUAUUUGCAUCUUGCAUCUAAUGAACUAUUCGUAUCAUAGCAGUUGCGCAUACCGAACAUUUCGUGUUUCAGUAUCUGAACUAAUCGGAACUACUUCUCUAGCAGUAGCAUCAUGAAGCAGCACACAAACCCCGACAUACCCAGAAAAAAAUCUGCAGUACUCUCUCCGCCUGAAGAAAUGCCAAAUGCACCAGAAGAUAGCAAAGCUUGAGGAGCUGCGCCGGCCAGAGAUAUCAUGGAGACAGUAGCCUUGGAUGUAGAAGUAAAUUAAGAUUACAGGGAUGUCAGCUCCACGAUUGGAAAAAAGAAGAGGAAGGCCAAGGCAUCAGCCGGCCAGAGAUAUCAUGGAGACAGCAGCCUCGGAUGUAGAAAUAAGACUCCACGACUGAAAAUAAGAAGAGAAAGGCCAAGCCAUCAGCUGCUACACCAACCAAGAAGCAGAUCAACGAGUAACUCUUCCCACACAAAUAAAGUUGUU